CAUCUUCUUGUUUUUAAAAGACCUAGCAAUAGGUAUGCUUAGGNAGGAGCUUGCGUCACAUUAGUUAGUUGGUGGGGUAAAGGCCUACCAAGACUAUGAUGUGUAGCCGGGCUGAGAGGUUGAACGGCCACAUUGGGACUGAGACACGGCCCAAACUCCUACGGGAGGCAGCAGUAGGGAAUUUUCGGCAAUGGAGGAAACUCUGACCGAGCAACGCCGCGUGAACGAUGAAGUAUUUCGGUACGUAAAGUUCUUUUAUUAGGGAAGAAUAAAUGAUGGAAAAAUCAUUCUGACGGUACCUAAUGAAUAAGCCCCGGCUAACUAUGUGCCAGCAGCCGCGGUAAUACAUAGGGGGCAAGCGUUAUCCGGAAUUAUUGGGCGUAAAGGGUGCGUAGGCGGUUAAAUAAGUUUNUGGUCUAAGUGCAAUGCUCAACAUUGUGAUGCUAUAAAAACUGUUUAGCUAGAGUAAGAUAGAGGCAAGUGGAAUUCCAUGUGUAGUGGUAAAAUGCGUAAAUAUAUGGAGGAACACCAGUAGCGAAGGCGGCUUGCUGGGUCUUUACUGACGCUGAGGCACGAAAGCGUGGGGAGCAAACAGGAUUAGAUACCCUGGUAGUCCACGCCGUAAACGAUGAGUACUAAACGUUGGNUAAAACCAGUGUUGAAGUUAACACAUUAAGUACUCCGCCUGAGUAGUACGUACGCAAGUAUGAAACUUAAAGGAAUUGACGGGACUCCGCACAAGCGGUGGAUCAUGUUGUUUAAUUCGAAGGUACCCGAAAAACCUCACCAGGUCUUGACAUGCUUCUGCAAAGCUGUAGAAACACAGUGGAGGUUAUCAGUUGCACAGGUGGUGCAUGGUUGUCGUCAGCUCGUGUCGUGAGAUGUUGGGUUAAGUCCCGCAACGAGCGCAACCCUUAUUGUUAGUUACCAGCACGUAAUGGUGGGGACUUUAGCAAGACUGCCAGUGAUAAAUUGGAGGAAGGUGGGGACGACGUCAAAUCAUCAUGCCCCUUAUGACCUGGGCUACAAACGUGAUACAAUGGCUGUUACAAAGGGUAGCUGAAGCGCAAGUUUUUGGCGAAUCUCAAAAAAACAGUCUCAGUUCGGAUUGAAGUCUGCAACUCGACUUCAUGAAGUUGGAAUCGCUAGUAAUCGCGAAUCAGCAUGU
rnacentral:rRNA from 1 species